rnacentral:tRNA from 1 species
GACGAUAUAGCUCAGUGGUAGAGUGUGUGCUUGGCGUGCACAAGGUCCUGGGUUCAAUCCCCUGUGCCUCCA